AGUUUUUUUUUUUCAUUUUUAUUAUUAUAAAUAUAUUAUUCUAAAUGCUAUAUAUUUUAUUAUUACAAAUCUUUGCUCACUCGCAUCUUUUUUCUCCCUCAGGUUUACAGCUCAGCCUCUGUCCCAUAUCUGGUUGAGGAGACUGUGGAUCAUCCAGAACAUCACCAGUGGAAAAAAAGGUGUGAAUGCAUUCUCAAAGCCCUUGUGAGAGAGUACACAGAUGCUGGACAUGAUGAAGCACAAACCUUGAUGUGCAACACCACCUUAUGAAUCUACAGUAGUUACAUGAACAUUUAUCAGACUCUUUUGUCUAAAGUGACUUACAAUUGAGGAGACAUUCAGCAAAUCAACAAGAAGAGGC